rnacentral:rRNA from 1 species
CGGGCACCGCUAUUGGAAUACGAUUAAGGCAUGCGAGUCGAGAGGGGUUAAGCCCUCGGCACACGGCUGAGUAACACGCGGAUAAUCUGCCCUAAGGUGGAGGAUAACCUCGGGAAACUGAGAAUAAUACUCCAUAGGCUUGGAAUACUGGAAUGUCUCCAAGCUGAAAGCUUCGGCGCCUUAGGAUGAGUCUGCGGCCUAUCAGGUUGUAGUGGGUGUAAUGGACCCACUAGCCUACGACGGGUAGGGGCGUUGAGAGACGGAGCCCCCAGAUGGAUUCUGAGACACGAAUCCAGGUCCUACGGGGCGCAGCAGCUGCGAAACCUUCGCAAUGUGGGAAACCACGACGAGGGAAUUCCAAGUGCUAAUGCAAUGCAUUAGCUGUUCUCCUGUCUAAAAAACAGGUGAAGUAAGGGCUGGGUAAGACGGGUGCCAGCCGCCGCGGUAAUACCCGCAGCCCGAGUGGUGCUCGAUUUUAUUGAGCUUAAAGCGUACGUAGCCGGUCUUGUAAAUCCUUGGGUAAAUCGGGCAGCUUAACUGUUCGACUUCCGAGGAGACUGCAUGACUUGGGACCGGGAGAGGUCAGAGGUACCUUUGGGGUAGGGGUAAAAUCCUGUAAUCCUGAAGGGACCACCAGUGGCAAAGGCGUCUGACUAGAACGGAUCCGACGGUGAGGAACGAAGCCCUGGGGCGCAAACGGGAUUAGAUACCCCGGUAGUCCAGGGUGUAAACGCUGCGGGCUUGGUGUCGGGGGUCCUACGGGGGCACCCGGUGCCGGAGAGAAAUUGUUAAGCCUGCCGCUUGGGGAGUACGGUCGCAAGACUGAAACUUAAAGGAAUUGGCGGGGGAGCACCGCAACGGGAGGAGCGUGCGGUUCAAUUGGAUUCAACGCCGGAAAACUCACCAGGAGCGACGGAUACAUGAAGGUCAGGCUGAUGACUUUACCUGAUUGUUCGAGAGGUGGUGCAUGGCCGUCGUCAGUUCGUACCGUAGGGCGUUCUCUUAAGUGAGAUAACGAACGAGACCCUCGCCACUAAUUGCAACUUGUCCCUCCGGGGGCAGGGCACAUUAGUGGGACCGCUGGUGCUAAAUCAGAGGAAGGGGAGGUCGACGGUAGGUCCGUAUGCCCCGAAUCUCCUGGGCUACACGCGCGCUACAAAGGCCGAGACAAUGGGAUCCGAUACCGAAAGGUAAGGGUAAUCUCGAAACUCGUCCGUAGUUCGGAUUGAGGGUUGUAACUCACCCUCAUGAAGCUGGAUUCCGUAGUAAUCGCGCGUCAACAUCGCGCGGUGAAUAUGCCCCUGCUCCUUGCACACACCGCCCGUCAAACCAUCCGAGUUGGGCUUAAGUGAAGUUGUCUCACUUUGGGGCAUUUGAACUUGAGUUCAGCAAGGGGGGUU